CCUACGGGCGGCAGCAGUGAGGAAUAUUGGUCAAUGGACGAGAGUCUGAACCAGCCAAGUAGCGUGAAGGAUGACUGCCCUAUGGGUUGUAAACUUCUUUUAUAUGGGAAUAAAACGUUCCACGUGUGGGAUUUUGUAUGUACCAUAUGAAUAGGAAUGGGCUAACUCGGUGCCAGCAGCGGGGGUAAUCCGGAGGAUCCGAGCGUUAUCCGGAUUUAUUGGGUUUAAGGGGAGCGUAGGUGGAUUGUUAAGUCAGUGGUGAAAGUUUGCGGCUCAACCGUAAAAUUGCAGUUGAAACUGGCAGUCUUGAGUACAGUAGAGGUGGGCGGAAUUCGUGGUGUAGCGGUGAAAUGCUUAGAUAUCACGAAGAACUCCGAUUGCGAAGGCAGUUCACUGGACUGCAACUGACACUGAGGCUCGAAAGUGUGGGUAUCAAACAGGAUUAGAUACCCUUGUAGUC
rnacentral:rRNA from 1 species